rnacentral:rRNA from 1 species
GACGGAGGGUGCAAGCGUUGUUCGGAAUUACUGGGCGUAAAGCGUACGUAGGCGGUGGAUUAAGUCGAAUGUUAAAGCCUGGGGCUCAACCCCAGAGAUGCAUUCGAUACUGGUUCACUAGAGGGUGAUAGAGGAAAGCGGAAUUCCGAGUGUAGCGGUGAAAUGCGUAGAUAUUCGGAGGAACAUCAGUAGCGAAGGCGGCUUUCUGGGUCACACCUGACGCUGAGGUACGAAAGCGUGGGGAGCAAACGGG